rnacentral:rRNA from 1 species
AGCGAACGCUGGCGGCAGGCUUAACACAUGCAAGUCGAGCGCCCCGCCAGGGGAGCGGCAGACGGGUGAGUAACACGUGGGAACGUACCCUUUGGUUCGGAACAACCCAGGGAAACUUGGGCUAAUACCGGAUAAGUCCGCGAGGAGAAAGAUUUAUCGCCGAAGGAUCGGGCCGCGUCUGAUUAGCUAGUUGGUGUGGUAACGGCGCACCAAGGCGACGAUCAGUAGCUGGUCUGAGAGGAUGAUCAGCCACACUGGGACUGAGACACGGCCCAGACUCCUACGGGAGGCAGCAGUGGGGAAUAUUGGACAAUGGGGGCGACCCUGAUCCAGCCAUGCCGCGUGAGUGAUGAAGGCCCUAGGGUUGUAAAGCUCUUUCGGUGGGGAAGAUAAUGACGGUACCCACAGAAGAAGCCCCGGCUAACUUCGUG